rnacentral:rRNA from 1 species
GACGAACGCUGGCGGCGCGCCUAACACAUGCAAGUCGAACGGUGAACCGGGCUUCGGCCCGGGGAUCAGUGGCGAACGGGUGCGUAACACGUGGGCAACCUGCCCCCGACCCUGGGAUAACCCCGGGAAACCGGAGCUAAUACCGGAUACUCUCCUCCGACCGCUUGGUCGAGGGAGGAAAGGUCCGCCGGUCGGGGAUGGGCCCGCGGCCUAUCAGCUUGUUGGUGGGGUAACGGCCUACCAAGGCGACGACGGGUAGCUGGUCUGAGAGGACGACCAGCCACGCUGGGACUGAGACACGGCCCAGACUCCUACGGGAGGCAGCAGUGGGGAAUCUUGCGCAAUGGGCGAAAGCCUGACGCAGCGACGCCGCGUGGGGGACGAAGGCCUUUCAGGUCGUAAACCCCUUUCGGCAGGGACGAAGCGAUCUCGUGACGGUACCUGCAGAAGAAGCCUCGGCUAACUACGUGCCAGCCGCCGCAGUAAUAC